GUUCUCAUGGUACUGGGGAAAAUAAAACAAUGACUUUACAGCUGAAGGAGAUGAGUUCAGAAAGGACAGGCGUUCUUUCUUAAACUGCUCAGAAGUGGAGGAAGAGAAUUUCAAACUGUCAUCUGAAGCUCCUGCUUACCACCUCAGCCACAGUGAAUCAUCUCAGUGAAAUAACAGAAAGACUCAAGACUGAAAACUUUUCAUUUCCAAUCAAAUGCAGAAAUCUUGAGCAAAUGGAGAGAUACAGCGUGAGCCUUCACAAACUCUUCCUUGUACCUUAAGGCUACUGGAGUACUGGACCAACGCCACUUGCUCACUGUGUACCUUCUUGAAACUAACAAACAAUACAGUGACUGUCAGUAGAUGCUGCCUCCUCAG